rnacentral:lncRNA from 1 species
CAGCAGGAUUGAGACCGAGUGGAGCUGAUCCUGAGGAUUCCUUUGGACUGAUUUGAGCUUAGCACGAGGUGGGUCGGACCUAACCAGAGCAAGUGAAGCUCCCCUAUGUUCUAUAUGUAUCUAUAGAAUAGAAUAAUCGCUUAGACGCAUUGAGUGCAUAUGUGGUUGAUAGAGAAUUUGGAACAUAUCAGUGGGAUAUGUGAUGCUUAAGUAGAAUAAAUCUCUAUAAAGUAGUUAUCAAUGUUGCCCAUAACAAGACCAACGGCCUGGGUCUGAUCUAGAGGUUGUUCACACCUUAUACUUAAGUUUCGCCACCGUGUGAUGUAAUCUAACAUCGUUUCAUCUUUCCUUCGUCUGGUGGCUACCAGAUCAGCGAUAGUAAUCUUAUCGCUAACAGUGGCGAAUUUUGCUUUGAAAGCUUCUUCUAUGUCGGGCCAAGUUUUAAUGGACUCAUCCUCGAGGGAGUAGUACCAUUCAAAGGCUAUACCCGAUAAGCUUUGUGGAAAUUGUCGUAAGAGUAGAGGCCCGUUACUCCCAGUAUUUCCACACAUGGCCUUAAAAUGUGCUAGGUGCUGAUCAGGGUUACCAACACCAUAAAACAUUUUGAACUUAGGGACUUGAUACCCGUCUGGAAAAGGUAUAUUAUCAUAUUCUGAUAGAUAAGGAUGUCCUUUCCCUUUUGGUUUUGGGUUUGCCCCCGCUACCGUCUCUUUAACCUGAGAAGUUAUCAAAUCAUGAAUCUCUUCUUUAGUCAAAGAGGUAGUCUCUUUAGGAACAGUUGUUUUAGUCUGUUCAUUAAUGACUUGGGGUGCAGGUGCUUCUGUCCGAGCUGGAGUCUUGGUUUGAUGCCGUUGAUCCUCUAACUACUUCUGUACAUUCAUCAUCAAAUCCAUAACCUCCUCCAUUUUCUUAUAGAGACUUAUAAUAUCUCUAUCUUUUUCAUCAACUUUCUUUUUCAAGGAUGCGAUUAUAGCAUCCUUUGGAUCCCUCGGGAAGAAUACAACCUCUUCUUCCUCCCGUGGAUCAGAUAGAUCACCAGGUAAGUCAUCUUUAUUCCCGGUGUUUUGCGAAGAGCUUGUUUCUUUAGCUCUCGCCUUCUCUUCUGCUGCUUUUCUUGCAGCAGCUCUGGUAAGCAUUUGUUGAAUUGUUUCUUCUUCGUUAACAGCCUCACUUGAAGGCACACGCCCUAUAACUCUCACAGUAUGAAUCUCCAAAUUUUUUGUAAUACACUGAACUUUCGCAAAUUGCAGAGUUCGAGUGUGUGGAUUGAUGUGUGGAACUCUUCUACAUGUUCUAUUAGCCUUGGAUACGAUUUUGAACAAGAUAGAGAGUGAUUGGAGGGUUAAAAGCAUGAAAUUGCAUCAAUCAUGCGAAAUCAGCCUUUUUCUGCUUGUUGUACCGUACAGCCUCACCUUGUACCGGUACAGCCUGGCAGAAAUCUGGCAGCAAGGCUAGUUUGGUAAUUUCACCUCUGAUCCCUAUCUAUUAGACCCCAGCUCGACCAGAGAUGUUCAGAUAUGCAUGUUUGAGCUCAGAGAAGUGCUCUUCCUUCUCUCUUUUUCUCUCUCUCUAGGGUUUCUCUCUCUCUCUACGAGGAAAUCGCCGAUUUUGCUCGUUUUCGUCGCCGCGCUUGUUCUUCGCUGUUUGCGAGCGUCGCAGAGCCCUUGUGGACGUGUGAGGGAGUGUUUUGGACGGGUUUUCGCAGCCCUGGACCAGCAGGUCACUGGUUGGAAGCUUGAGAAGGUAAUCGCCUCACUUUCGCCGUUAUCGACGUCCUAUUCGUCGAUUUGAGUAAUGAUUUCGGGUUUUGCUUCUUGCUGUGCUAGGCUGAGAUUUCAGCCAUUAAAGAUGAGCUAAAUAGAUGUGAAUUAACCUCUUUAGACCAGGGAUAAGCUACUUUAAAGCUUAAUUGGAAUUAUUAGCCAUUUAUGAAGCUAAAUUGGCACGAAAUGCAAAUUGUUGCGCGAAUUGAUGCAAUUUAGAAUUAUUUCUUCGCAGCAGGUCUUCGAGACUCGUCGAGCUGAAUUUGUACUCUUAGAAGCUGGUUUGGAAGGUAUUCUGACCUGAGGUAAGCAGGAAUUUCAGUUAGAAAGCUGAAAUUGCAAGAUUCCGACUAUAGUUGCUAAUAUAUGACGAGUUUGACGUCGUUUCGAUUUUGUUCGCAGCGAGAGUGCGAUCGAGCCUUGGAUCACCGUUCGUUGACUUGUGAGAGCUCUUGGAGACUUAUUUUGAGGUAUUACACUAGUCCCAAAACAGGGAUUUAAGGGGUUACCUUGUACUAAGUGGAAUUUAGGCCGAAAUCGGAUAUUCCGGUCAUUACUUUAACGCGGGGUUGAUGUUUGUGUUCAGCAGGAUUGAGACCGAGUGGAGCUGAUCCUGAGGAUUCCUUUGGACUGAUUUGAGCUUAGCACGAGGUGGGUCGGACCUAACCAGAGCAAGUGAAGCUCCCCUAUGUUCUAUAUGUAUCUAUAGAAUAGAAUAAUCGCUUAGACGCAUUGAGUGCAUAUGUGGUUGAUAGAGAAUUUGGAACAUAUCAGUGGGAUGUGUGAUGCUUAAGUAGAAUAAAUCUCUAUAAAGUAGAGAACAUAUAUACAUGAAAGUAUUUCUAUUCAUAUUCAAUACAGUUGAAUGACUGAUGAACAAGUGUAGGAUGCACUUUAAAGUAGAGAACAAUGACAUUCUCUUGACUCUAACAUAGAGAACUAUGAUAUGCUCAUGACUAUGUUGAUAGUGCCAUACUUGUGGAAAGAUUAUAAUGCUAUGUGAUUUAGCUUUACCAUUACACGUUUACAAUCUAGUGGAUACUAGCUUCUGUUCCUAUUUGUGUAUUGACAUUCCGAUCGGAGGAUCGAGGGUAAGAACCUUGUAAAUGAAAAUAUGAAAGUUGAGACAUGUGGUCAUUGGACUUUGCUUGCUUGCCAUCGUGCUCAUUCGCACACGCUUGUGAGGGUAGCUCCCUACAAGCCGGCACUCCGGAGUUGGCCUACGCGACAGUUGCUCGCCCGUGCGGGAUUGGGUGCCGAAGUGGAUUGCCGUGGGGAGUGUAUACUACCACGGGGCCAUUAGGCGCGGCGCAAGCUGGACUACCUUGAGUAGGUCCUAGUGAAUGAAAAUGAAAGUGGAAAUGAUAAUGAUAUUAAAGAAUGAGUAUCAGUUGUAGUGUACAGUAGUACUUACACCUCUAUGAUCAUGUUUAUGUUCAUGUUUAUAGUAAUUGCGAUACUUCUAUUAUUCAGUUGAUUCAUUACUGCAGAGAUCAUGUUUACAUGUUGAAUACAUGCCUGUUACCGGUUAGCACUGCAUAUUUCUAUAUCAUGCAUUUAUCGCUUUUACUUACUUUUAGUACAUCUUGAGCCUAGUGGUGUAAUUCGCCGAGGCUGGCGGCUUACCCACUGGGAACUAUUGUUAAUAGUUCUCACGCCCUUUUGGUGGUUGUUUUUACAGAGCCAUCUACAGGAGAGGCUAGGGAUCGUGGCAAGGGAGUCGCGCCUAGCUAGGGACUACUAGGAGCGUGCUAGUCGAUCACCUUGCUACUCGGGCUACGGCCGAGGGUGAUGUCCAUAUAUAUA